UCAAGAGCUGCCCAGGGGUGCAAUAACUUCCUAGUGGACUUUGCUAAGGCAGAUGAGUGCUCACGUGUCCACUGCCUGCAGGAGUCUGGAUAACCCAAGGGAAAGAGUCUGGAAAUGAAUGGCAGAAGGACACCUGGCUGCAUUAUCCAAGACCCUCUCCUCGAAGAGAAGCCCCAUCCCUAUCCCUGGGUGGCUCUCAGUUGAGACAAGUAACCAUGAUCCUAGGUUCUCAGAAGGGUGGCUUGGGGGGCCCAGUGAAAGAUGGACAAGGUGUUUAUUAAGCGUGCCUGGAGACCAGCCCCAGAAGAUUUCUCAUGAAUCUGAUGCUUGGCUAACAAGACUCUUCUACAAACCAUUCCUGGCUAUUCUCUAUCCCUGGACUUGCAGCUCUAGAAGAUGAAGAUCUAAAGUGGUGGAGUGACCACUUCUAAAGAGCUUUUGUCUAAAAUAAACCUUAUCUGUGGCA